rnacentral:rRNA from 1 species
AUUGAACGCUGGCGGCAUGCUUUACACAUGCAAGUCGAACGGUAACAGGCCGCAAGGUGCUGACGAGUGGCGAACGGGUGAGUAAUGCAUCGGAACGUGCCCAGUCGUGGGGGAUAACUACUCGAAAGAGUAGCUAAUACCGCAUACGAUCUAUGGAUGAAAGCGGGGGACCGUAAGGCCUCGCGCGAUUGGAGCGGCCGAUGUCAGAUUAGGUAGUUGGUGGGGUAAAGGCUCACCAAGCCAACGAUCUGUAGCUGGUCUGAGAGGACGACCAGCGACACUGGGACUGAGACACGGCCCAGACUCCUACGGGAGGCAGCAGUGGGGAAUUUUGGACAAUGGGCGCAAGCCUGAUCCAGCAAUGCCGCGUGCAGGAAGAAGGCCUUCGGGUUGUAAACUGCUUUUGUACGGAACGAAACGGCUCUGGUUAAUACCCGGGGCUAAUGACGGUACCGUAAGAAUAAGCACCGGCUAACUACGUG